rnacentral:snoRNA from 1 species
ACCUCAUGAUUUGGGCAUUGCAUUAACUAAUCAUUGUAACGUUUCCAAACCUCAUACAAUGAUUUGCCAUUAGGUUGGCAAAAGUUAGUGAUUUCAUCCUUUCAUU